GAUAUUUUAAUUGUAAACCUAAGAAUAUUUCUAUGUACAUGUUUAGUUAGUUAAUGGAUAAUAAAGUAAACCCUAUAAUUUUAUGGGUUAGUAAUUGUAGAUAAUAAAAGGUUGAAUGGAACCUUAAAACUUUAUGGGCUCAACUUUUAAACAUGUACAAAGAGAAGCACGAGUUUAGGAGUAUGAGUGCUAAUGUAAGGUGCAAUCUAAUGCAGCUACACAUUGCGCAGCUUUGAGUGAGGAUAAUCCCGCGAAGCCACGGAUUUUGCAAGAAGGUGAAGCUUCUUUGGAUGCAGGUAUUGAUGAUGCGGAGGAGGACUCCGUUGCACACUAUGUGGAGUACUACGACUAAGCACGUCGCUUGAGUCGUAGGAGUGUCGGACUUGGAUAGUCCCUUUUGUGUAUUUUGUAUAUGGCUAGUGUGACUUAUAACACGUAGAUGUAGCCAUUCUUUUGUAUGCAUAAUUUUAUGCUUAAGUCCCCUUUGCGUAUUUUGUAUAUGGCUAGUGUGACUUGUGACACGUAGAGGUAGCCAUUCUUUUGUAUGCAUAACUUAUGCUUAAGCCUUAAGCAGAUAGACAUUAACAGGCUCUUUUGUGUAAUGAACAGCUUAUGAUUAUAAUGUUGACUUCCGCAGUUAGAUUUCGUAUUCCA